rnacentral:rRNA from 1 species
GAUGAACGCUGGCGGCGUGCCUAAUACAUGCAAGUCGAGCGAACAGACGAGGAGCUUGCUCCUCUGACGUUAGCGGCGGACGGGUGAGUAACACGUGGAUAACCUACCUAUAAGACUUGGAUAACUUCGGGAAACCGGAGCUAAUACCGGAUAAUAUAUUGAACCGCAUGGUUCAAUAGUGAAAGACGGUUUUGCUGUCACUUAUAGAUGGAUCCGCGCCGCAUUAGCUAGUUGGUAAGGUAACGGCUUACCAAGGCAACGAUGCGUAGCCGACCUGAGAGGGUGAUCGGCCACACUGGAACUGAGACACGGUCCAGACUCCUACGGGAGGCAGCAGUAGGGAAUCUUCCGAAAUGGGCGAAAGCCUGACGGAGCAACGCCGCGUGAGUGAUGAAGGUCUUCGGAUCGUAAAACUCUGUUAUUAGGGAAGAACAAAUGUGUAAGUAACUAUGCACGUCUUGACGGUACCUAAUCAGAAAGCCACGGCUAACUACGUG